rnacentral:rRNA from 1 species
CCUGGCUCAGGAUGAACGCUAGCUACAGGCUUAACACAUGCAAGUCGAGGGGCAGCAUGGAAGAAGCUUGCUUCUUCUGAUGGCGACCGGCGCACGGGUGCGUAACGCGUAUCAAACCUGCCUCAUACUCGGGGAUAGCCUUGCGAAAGUAAGAUUAAUACCCGAUGUUAUUAGUUCGUCGCAUGGUGGACUAAUCAAAGAUUUAUCGGUAUGAGAUGGUGAUGCGUCCGAUUAGGUAGUAGGCGGGGUAACGGCCCACCUAGCCUUCGAUCGGUAGGGGUUCUGAGAGGAAGGUCCCCCACACUGGAACUGAGACACGGUCCAGACUCCUACGG